AUCUCUUCAUCAGGAUCUCUUCAUCAAUCAGAUGAACCUCCUGGACCGGGCAGUGAAGAUGGUUGCCGAGCUGGACGAACCAUUGGAGGAAAACUACGUGAGAAAACACGCACUUGAGCAGGCUGAGACUCUUGGUGUCGAUAUUAAAGAAGCUGCGACCCAUAUCUUCUCCAAUGCAUCUGGCUCCUACUCAUCAAAUGUAAACCUGGCUGUCGAAAACUCAACAUGGAACGAGGAGAAACAGCUUUAAGACAUGUAUUUGAGCAGAAAGUCAUUCGCACUCGACAGCGACACUCCAGGUGCCGGAAUGAGCGAGAAACGAAAACUGUUCGAGAUGGCGUUAAGUGCAGCCGAAGCCACUUUCCAAAACCUCGACUCGUCAGAGAUUUCUUUAACCGAUGUGAGCCUCUACUUCGA